CCCGGUAGCUAAAUGCGGAAGAGAUAAGUGCUGAAAGCAUCUAAGCACGAAACUUGCCCCGAGAUGAGUUCUCCCUGACCCUUUAAGGGUCCUGAAGGAACGUUGAAGACGACGACGUUGAUAGGUCGGGUGUGUAAGCGCAGCGAUGCGUUGAGCUAACCGGUACUAAUGAACCGUGAGGCUUAACCUUACAACGCCGAAG
rnacentral:rRNA from 1 species